rnacentral:rRNA from 1 species
CAGUAGCCGCGGUAAUACGGAGGGGGCUAGCGUUGUUCGGAAUUACCGGGCGUAAAGCGCACGUAGGCGGCUUGGUAAGUUAGAGGUGAAAGCCUGGAGCUCAACUCCAGAAUUGCCUUUAAGACUGCCGAGCUAGCAGGUGAGAGAGGUAAGUGGAAUUCCGAGUGUAGAGGUGAAAUUCGUAGAUAUUCGGAAGAACACCAGUGGCGAAGGCGGCUUACUGGCUCAUACUGGACGCUGAGGUGCGAAAGCGUGGGGAGCAAACAGGAUUAGAGACCCGAGUAGUCCCUGUCUCUUAUAC